rnacentral:rRNA from 1 species
UACGGGGGGAGCAAGCGUUGUUCGGAUUUACUGGGCGUAAAGGGCGCGUAGGCGGUCAGCACAAGUCAGUUGUGAAAUCUCCGGGCUUAACUCGGAAAGGUCAACUGAUACUGUGCGACUAGAGUGCGGAAGGGGCAACUGGAAUUCUCGGUGUAGCGGUGAAAUGCGUAGAUAUCAGGAGGAACACCUGUGGUGUAGACGGCUCUCUGGACCGCAACUGACGCUGAGACACGAAAGCGUGGGUAGCAAACAGG